UGGCUCAGUGAGGCUGCGGCUCUUCUCAGGAUGGUGUCGUAUCGGCAGAGGCGCUCUUUGGAGCUACAGCAGAGACUAUCAUCGCACUGGACCAGAGGGAGGAACCGGCAUCUUUUUGUUCCUUACUGGAAAUAUUCAUAAUCUGCUUGAUUUGCCAAACCCAGUUUUUGGCACGGAUUCUUUUAAUUUACAAAGAGGAUUAAAUUGUAACGUUACAACGCGGACACACGUGGAUUGAUACUAUCAUUUUGCUUUAACCUGAUCAUGAGGGCAACAGCCGAGGGACUUAAAACUGUAGCUAUGGCUCGUCCUGUAGGUAUCAGGGAAAACUGUCCUGUCCGGGAUGAGUGGCGUCUGUUACUGCCACAGUCCUCCUGCUGGACAAGUCGGUCGACUCUCCUGGGAUAACUUGGGAUACACGCGUUGUCAACACUGUCAGAGGUGGUCAGUGUCAUAUGCUUUUGGAAAUGUAUUCUUUUGGAUUUUGGCACAAGGAAAAGGAUACCCUGGAAUAAAUUUUGGAAGCUGUGCUCCGUAGAUGUCCAGUGAUUUGGAUAAUAUGAAUACGCAUCUCCUGACCCAGCAGUGAAGGAGUCCAGGCUCUUGGCAAUGAGAUGUCAACCUUUAUUUGUUCCCAGCAAUCUUCUGAUUAUCUCCAGUGAGCAACAAGAAGAGGCUGACUAAUGGAAACAUGAUCUCAAGAGAUUCAACAGGAUCACACCAAAUCCAAGUUUGGAUGGUGGACCAGCAUCCCCACAGCAGAUGUUUGCUCCUGGCAUGGCUGCUGACAGUAUGAGCUCCAUCACUGACAGUCUAGCUCUCAGGAUCCAGCCAGCAGCUUGAACUUGGAGGAGCCAUGACAUAAACUCACCAGGAUAGCAAAGCAUAUUCCGCUGCUCAGGCAUCAUGGAACAUAUCAGUCAACCUCUUCUGGAAAGGUGCUCAAGAGAGGAGUCAACUUGAUGAAUGAGCAUUUACUGUAGCUACCAUGACGGUCUACAUACUGUUUAACUAUUUUCUAAAUUGAAACUGGAUUAGUAUUUUCCCGUGCAUACAUCUGCUCUUGAUUUUCAAUAUUUACUGACACUGUUGCUCAUAUACUGUAGCUGUGAUUUUUACUGUGUUAUUCUAAAUACAGCAUCAAUAGUUUUUUUGGAUUUCAUUUUCUGGACUAUUUUUACUACUUUGAAGGCUAUUCUUUGCUUAACAUUUCAGGUUGAUCGAAUGAGGAUACAUAUCUCCUAUGCAUGUGAUCAAAAUGCCUCAGAAAAAUUACUCUGCCAAGACAAUGGAACAUUUCAAAGAAGCCAUUGUCAUCAUGGUCUUGAUAAAUGUAAAACAAAAUCUCUUUUAAUGACAACGCAUUUUGUUUUGACACAUUGGCAGCGUGUCUUAAUUCUGGUUCAUAAUCCUGUCAAGUUGUCGACUCUCAUUAUGAUUUAUUGCUCCAACAUUUGUGUUGUGUCUGUGAAACCUUGUUAGCAGAAAUAAAGAGGUGUAUCCAA